rnacentral:sRNA from 1 species
AGUACCUUUUAAUAGAUUGUCCAGAGAGGCAAAAAAGGGGAACUUGGUGAGUGAGCAAGCGUUUAGCGCUACAGCUCUAUCUCGUCAUGCCUCCCUACGCCUCGCUUACCUUAAGCGAGGCUAUUUUUAU